rnacentral:misc_RNA from 1 species
ACGCGAUAAGUAAUGUGAAUUGCAGAAUUUAGUGAAUCAUCGAAUCUUUGAACGCACAUUGCGCCCGCCAGUAUUCUGGCGGGCAUGCCUGUCCGAGCGUCAUUACAACCCUCAGGCCCCCGGGCCUGGUGUUGGGGAUCGGCGGAGCCCUCCGGGGCACACGCCGUCCCCCAAAUUCAGUGGCGGUCUCGCUGCAGCCUCCAUUGCGUAGUAGCUAACACCUCGCAACUGGAAGGCGGCGCGGCCACGCCGUAAAACCCCCAACUUCUGAAUGUUGACCUCGGAUCAGGUAGGAAUACCCGCUGAACUUAA